GACGAACGCUGGCGGCGUGCUUAACACAUGCAAGUCGAACGGAAAGGCCCUGCUUUUGUGGGGUGCUCGAGUGGCGAACGGGUGAGUAACACGUGAGUAACCUGCCCUUGACUUUGGGAUAACUUCAGGAAACUGGGUCUAAUACCGGAUAGGAGCUCCUGCUGCAUGGUGGGGGUUGGAAAGUUUCGGCGGUUGGGGAUGGACUCGCGGCUUAUCAGCUUGUUGGUGGGGUAGUGGCUUACCAAGGCUUUGACGGGUAGCCGGCCUGAGAGGGUGACCGGCCACAUUGGGACUGAGAUACGGACCAGACUCCUACGGGAGGCAGCAGUGGGGAAUAUUGCACAAUGGGCGGAAGCCUGAUGCAGCAACGCCGUGUGCGGGAUGACGGCCUUCGGGUUGUAAACCGCUUUCGCCUGUGACGAAGCGUGAGUGACGGUAAUGGGUAAAGAAGCACCGGCUAACUACGUG
rnacentral:rRNA from 1 species